GUGGGUAACCUGCCCAUAAGACUGGGAUAACUCCGGGAAACCGGGGCUAAUACCGGAUAACAUUUUGAACCGCAUGGUUCGAAAUUGAAAGGCGGCUUCGGCUGUCACUUAUGGAUGGACCCGCGUCGCAUUAGCUAGUUGGUGAGGUAACGGCUCACCAAGGCAACGAUGCGUAGCCGACCUGAGAGGGUGAUCGGCCACACUGGGACUGAGACACGGCCCAGACUCCUACGGGAGGCAGCAGUAGGGAAUCUUCCGCAAUGGACGAAAGUCUGACGGAGCAACGCCGCGUGAGUGAUGAAGGCUUUCGGGUCGUAAAACUCUGUUGUUAGGGAAGAACAAGUGCUAGUUGAAUAAGCUGGCACCUUGACGGUACCUAACCAGAAAGCCACGGCUAACUACGUGCCAGCAGCCGCGGUAAUACGUAGGUGGCAAGCGUUAUCCGGAAUUAUUGGGCGUAAAGCGCGCGCAGGUGGUUUCUUAAGUCUGAUGUGAAAGCCCACGGCUCAACCGUGGAGGGUCAUUGGAAACUGGGAGACUUGAGUGCAGAAGAGGAAAGUGGAAUUCCAUGUGUAGCGGUGAAAUGCGUAGA
rnacentral:rRNA from 1 species